CUACGGGAGGCACCAGGGAAUAUUGGACAAUGGGCGCAAGCCUGAUCCAGCAAUGCCGCGUGUGUGAAGAAGGCCUGCGGGUUGUAAAGCACUUUCGUUGGUGAGGAAGGUCAUGUAUUGAAUAGGUGCAUGAAUUGACGUUAACCAAAGAAGAAGCACCGGCUAACUCUGUGCCAGCAGCCGCGGUAAUACAGAGGGUGCAAGCGUUAAUCGGAAUUACUGGGCGUAAAGCGCGCGUAGGCGGAUGAUUAAGUGAGAUGUGAAAUCCCCGGGCUUAACCUGGGAACAGCAUCUGAUACUGGUCAGCUAGAGUACGGGAGAGGGAAGUGGAAUUUCCGGUGUAGCGGUGAAAUGCGUGGAUAUCGGAAGGAACACCAGUGGCGAAGGCGACUUUCUGGCCUGCUACUGACGCUGAGGCGCGAAAGCGUGGGGAGCAAACAGGAUUAGAUACCCCUGUAGUC
rnacentral:rRNA from 1 species